rnacentral:lncRNA from 1 species
AAGAGGUUGUCGACGGGACCGGUGCCGGUGGAGAUGGCCUGCGCGAAGCAACCCACGAUGGCAACCAUGGCGAGGCGGCCGUUAGCGAUCUCCUUGCGCUUGAGCUCCUCAGCCUUCUUGGGGUCCUUGGCGUAUCCCAUGGGGUCGAAGAGGCCCUUGGGGUAGCCGACGUCGGUGUUGGUGUCGCCCUUGUUGGCACCGGUGAGGGGAUCCUCGUUCAUGGUGCCGGGGGCCUUCAUGUCCUGCCAGCGGCGGACCUCGGCCCAGUUCAUCAUGGCCAUCUGCACGAAGAACAGGGGACCGGCGCCGAGCCAGUAGCCGUCCCACUUGCCGGCAUCGAUCCAGUUGGGGAGGUCGGCCAUGCCGAUCUUGGUGAGGAGCUCGGGGCCGACCAUGCCGGCGAGGCCGAGCAUCGCCCAGCGGCAGUGCAUGAGCUCAGCCUGGACGAACCACUUGAGGUUCUCGGGGUCCGCGCCGAGGUUGAGGGGAUCGAAACCGUAGUCGCAGGGGAGGGUGCCGUCGAGGUGAGCGGGCGCGGGGGAGCCGGGAAGCCAGGUGGGGCGGGCCGCGGCGACCGC